AGAUAUUAAGAGAGCUGUGCGAACAACCCUGACGUUAUGUGGGCCAUAAAAAAGACCCGCACAGAGAUUUAAGUUCCUGUCAGGUCGUCGUUGUGUGAAGCUGAAUGUUCUUUGUUUCAUCUUUAGGACUGGCCCACUCCAGCGAGCCCUAUUGUGCUCUCCAAGUUUGCGCGUUUAUAUUAUUUUUUGCGCAUAGAAAAUCCUAAUACAUGUCAUUGUCAUGGUCAGUCGACAACUGAAGUUUGAAUCGCAAAUACUCCGCGUUUAUAGCACGUUAAGGCUCGAGCCACCUUCUUCAUCUCCUUUUCCUGAGCUCCUAGCGGCCUGUUUCCUCGCGUCAGAGGACUCUGUAGUAGAGAGGCAACAUGGCGCGCGUAGUCUGGUAUGGUCGGAGAGGCCGUGAGGCUGUGCGCGCACUGCUAUCAUUUUGUUGUCUCGAUCUGUGAAACACGGGCCUGCACCAGUCAUACUCAGAUACAAUGGGAGAGGCGCAGAAAUAGGGCAAAUCUCAUACAGGUCAAUCAUUCGUGUGGGGCCGCCGCUGAUGAAGGCGAUGAAGUGCAGAGAAUGAGAGCUGUGCCUGGGCCUACUACUACUGCUGCUGCAGCCCGGAUUGUGCAGAUCCGCUCUCUCAAACCGAGAAAAGCCCUCGCUUUGUGCCACAUUAUCAAACAUCCGCUGCUGGCUUCACGGUGACCGUCCUCCAAAUGGAUACAGCCGUGACAACAUGAAUCAGUCACACAGACCGCCUGUCAGGGUCGGCUCGGUUUUUGGUUCAGGCCAGCCAGAGCUGAGGCCCCACAAUGGUCUUGUGAGCACUUCGUAUGGAAACCAAUGUGGCAUCGUGAGGCGAGGGUCGGACCAACAGUCAGCCGUGCAGCUGCCGUCCUCCAGCAUCAAACCUCCAGCUGUACUGGGGUACAACCAGACUAACCGGUCACACUGCUACAAUCCCCUGAGGAGGCUGCACGACCUGAACACUGUGGUCAGCAGGCCUGACCUGGAGAAGGACCUCCAUCCCAACAACCACUUCCACUGUGCAAUCCCCAUCAGUGAUGAUGAGUUCGAGGCACCCUCAGUCCAGUUGCCUCUCUCUCCAGGUGAUGAUGACGUGGAGUCCUUGGAGACGCUGCAGGAUGUGAGAAGAAAUGGCUUCUCCCCUAACAGUCCGGACAGCUUGGAGCGCUGUUCUCCCAUCCCCAAUGGCUGCCUGCAUUUUGAGUCCAUGCUGUUUGACAGCAGUGACAUUAAGGAGGAGGAUGAGGAGGGGGGGCACUGUAGUAGUGACGAGCUGGUGCCAUUUCACCACCCCAAAAAGUUGAGUAAGGACUGGACUGUUUCUGACAGCAGGACCGCAUGCAGCUCAGGGGGGGAUAAAAUAACGUACAAACCUACUGUGUUUAAUCUGAUGUCCAAAACUAUAUCCGAACUCAACCCUACACUAAGCCCCAGCGCACUGCCAGACAUCACUAUGAGAGAUGGUUGGAGUUUGGGUGAGGAAUCACUGAGUGAGGAUGAACUUACCUCUCCUGUUGACCCUGGACUUAUUUCACCAGCCAGGACCAACUCCAACUCAAACAGCCCAAAGAAAAAGCCUCUUCCUGCAGUGAAAUACUUGGAAGGGGACUUGGUGUGGGCUAAAUUUAACAGACGGCCCUGGUGGCCCUGCCAUGUCACAUGUGAUCAGGACAAGGGGACCCACACUAAGAUGAAAGUUCCCAGUCCCCGUCCUUGUAGGAUGUAUUUUCUGGAGAUGCUUGGUGAGGUUGCAGAGAAGGCCUGGGUCCCAGGCACUGCAAUUCAUCUUUUUGAAGGAGGCCAUCAGUUUGAAGAGCUUCCAGUUCUCAGACGAAGAGGGAAGCAGAAGGAGAAAAACUACAAAUAUUUGAUACCGAAAAGUUUACUGACGGCUUGGAAAGUCAGUGUAGCGGAAGCUGAGUAUCUGCUCCAACAUCGACAAAGGAAUACUGAAAGCAUUCUUUCAUUAUCUGUCAAUGGAGAGGAGCGUGUGCCCAGCCCGGUGUGUGCUGAAAAGCCACAGGAGUCUCCCUCUGUCUCUAUGGAUCGGAAUCAAACUCAUUCACCCUUUAAAGGCCCCAAUGGAAAUGAGCCUUAUCUCAUCAAGAACUCUGCCGCAACUCAACCCAACAAGAGCAAAUACUGUAAGAAGAAAAAGAAAUGUUUGUCAGACAUAUUUGGACACAUAGUCGGUGGUUCAAAGGAGGGAUCUAUUAUUACAAACAUUGUGGAUCAGGUUCAUACUACAAAUCAUGCACUGAAAGAUGAGCCAAAGGACUCACCUUAUGCAGACAUGGAUUCUGUCCCAAUGCUGCACCGUCCUAAACGCACAGCGACGUCUCCAACACCGGAUGUAGACAGAUUCAUCUGGAAAGAACAGGGUUCAACUAAAACAAAGUUUACUGAAAGAGCAAAUCGUUCCGCCGAUACCUGUGACUCUUCUAGUGUUUUAAAUAAAAAGACAUCAAAAGAAACAAACUCUGAGAAGAGUUUUGGCAGCUGUAAUGAAUUGUCGAGCAGUUCAAAUGGAAAGCACUCUCUGGAACUUCCUGCCAGCAGUGGUCUGAUGACUCGGGCUCUGAGAGCAAAGGAAGAGACGGAUAUUAAAGAUGCACUGGCAACUAGCCAAAACUUAACAGAUGCCCCCGCUGAUGAUUGUCCUGAUAAAGCACCUACUCGUACACCAAUCGAAGCUGAAAUCUCUCCUCACUGGGAAUCACCCAGCAAAGCGCCAUGCCCUCCAAGACGACGUGCAAGGAAGCCUGAUAAGAAACACAUUCACAACGGCUCAUUGAUGAACCCCAAGAGUUUCGGCACUAGUUUACCCACAGUGCAACCUGUUCAAAUUAAGAUAGAAAAGCUCGAUCGGCCAUCUUCAUCUUCCCCAUCCUCAUCUCUGUCUCCGAUGGAGGCUUUCCAGGAUCCGAAAGAGCUGACAUUUAAAUCUCUUGUGAAAGAAGACAGCAGUGACUCUGAGUCGAAUGCAUUUCAACCUGAUUCUAAUUAUAAGUUCAGUACCUUUCUCAUGCUCCUGAAGGACAUGCACGAUACCAGAGAAAUGGAAGGUAAGCCCCUCACUCUGCCACCAUCACCAGUCCUGAUCAAAGAGGAACCUCUGGUCAUGCCUACAUCUACAGGUGGAGACUCACUGAAGGCUUCCGGUGAGGUUUUUACUCAAGGGAUUAAAACGGAGAGCCAAAACAGAGCUUUAAAAGCCAAGAGUAGGACUAAAGCUAUCAUGUCAGCAGACACCUAUCACUUUGAAGACUUCCCUGUUCACUUAAAGGCUAGAGGCUCAGACAAGCAGCAUAGAAAGCAAAAACUUCCUGCCAAACUUAAACUCGGCAUACCAGGCCUGUCUAUGGACCUGGCGGACUUGGCUUACGGCAGAGGGUUUGUGAGUGGCCACGCUGACUUAGCUGAUCCUGGGUCGGCUGUUCCCAAGGCCGGCUUCCCCAAGAAGAACUCAGGAGCCGCCGUGGCGCCAAAGAAACGCUGGCAGCAGGUGGAUGAGACUGCAGAGGGUCGGGGUGAAAUUACUUGCAGGGCAUCGACUGACACGAACGGGUCUUACCCUGUGAGAGCAUCGCCGGAGUUCGAUCCAGGGGUCGAGAAAAGGGACGAGAAUGACUCGCACAACUCAGACACGAGCAGCUCCGCCGAGAAUAAACGCCUCCGAAAACCAACAAAAAGGCUCCUCGAGUCAACGGAGGAGUAUGAACAAAUAUUUGCCCAAAAAAAAAAAUCAAAGAAACACACCUCAGAAUCUUCCAAAUGGCAGACAUCAAUGAUGGCCGCCCUCCACGAUGUCAGCACCACAGCAGGAACGACUACCUCAUCCUCGUCUUCUGUGGAGCCCGCCGAGGCGCUGUCAGAGCUGGAGCAGAGUCCAUCUCAUGAUACACUCUCUCCUGUUGCACGCUCAGUAUCUCCAACCUCGACACGACCCUCGCUUGACACAGAGGCAGCAGUAGAAAGUGAUCUACCUCCUGAAAUGGACAAGGCGUCAAUCACCCAAGAAAGAAAGCGGCCAAGGAAGCUGUCGCAUAAGGUGCUGGAGUGUACAAUAGAAGAAGUGUCUGUAGCUCUGACGAAGAAGAAGGAGCCAAAGCGAUGCAGUGGAGUUACUGCAGAGAUAAAGGUGCAAGCCAAGAAAACUCAGGUUGGAUUUUCAAAGAAAGAGAAGCCUGCAUCCGGCAUGUCCUCUUCCCCGCCAAUGCUGCUUCCGCCCAGAACUCAGACGUCAAAGAUCGCCUCAGGGCCCUCACUCCAAACAUACCUCCCAGCCCCCAAGGAUCAAAGACCCCCAAGCGGGAGGCAGAGAUGGAGGCUUGUAGCAUCGAUGAGAAACAAAAUGAACACACUGGAACACUAACACCCAACCCUGAGGUGCUGCCUAUUGGUUUGAAUGAUACCUUCUCUUCCCAUGUGGAUGUGAAAGUGAAAAUAGGGGCUUCCACCUUAAAGGAGAAUGUCUGUCAGGUGUGUGAGAGGACAGGAGACCUGGUGCUGUGCGAGGGUCACUGUUACGGAGCCUUUCACCUGCAGUGCAUUGGCCUGUCAGCGGCUCCAAAGGGAAAAUUCUUCUGUGGUGAAUGCAAAGCUGGCGUCCACUUGUGUUUCGUGUGCAAGAAGUCUGGUAAUGGGGUGAAGCGCUGCAUCAUACCGCUGUGCGGGAAGUUUUACCAUGCCGACUGCAUACUUGCAUACUCGCCGACACAACCACACAACAAAGGCGUCCGCUGCCCCCUGCACGUGUGUCUGUCCUGCCACAUCACCAAC